rnacentral:rRNA from 1 species
AGGGUUUGAUCAUGGCUCAGAUUGAACGCUGGCGGCAGGCCUAACACAUGCAAGUCGAGCGCGAAAACACUUCGGUGUGAGUAGAGCGGCGGACGGGUGAGUAAUGCUUGGGAAUCUGCCCAGUAGUGGGGGAUAACGUGUGGAAACGCACGCUAAUACCGCAUACGUCCUACGGGAGAAAGCAGGGGAUCUUCGGACCUUGCGCUAUUGGAUGAGCCCAAGUCAGAUUAGCUAGUUGGUGAGGUAAUGGCUCACCAAGGCGACGAUCUGUAGCUGGUCUGAGAGGAUGAUCAGCCACACUGGGACUGAGACACGGCCCAGACUCCUACGGGAGGCAGCAGUGGGGAAUAUUGCACAAUGGGCGAAAGCCUGAUGCAGCCAUGCCGCGUGUGUGAAGAAGGCUCUAGGGUUGUAAAGCACUUUCAGUGGGGAGGAAAAGUUUAAGAUUAAUACUCUUGAACCUUGACGUUACCUGCAGAAGAAGCACCGGCAAACUCCGUGCCAGCAGCCGCGGUAAUUC